rnacentral:rRNA from 1 species
GAUGAACGCUGGCGGCGUGCCUAAUACAUGCAAGUCGAGCGAACAGACGAGGAGCUUGCUCCUCUGACGUUAGCGGCGGACGGGUGAGUAACACGUGGAUAACCUACCUAUAAGACUGGGAUAACUUCGGGAAACCGGAGCUAAUACCGGAUAAUAUAUUGAACCGCAUGGUUCAAUAGUGAAAGACGGUUUUGCUGUCACUUAUAGAUGGAUCCGCGCCGCAUUAGCUAGUUGGUAAGGUAACGGCUUACCAAGGCGACGGUGCGUAGCCGACCUGAGAGGGUGAUCGGCCACACUGGAACUGAGACACGGUCCAGACUCCUACGGGAGGCAGCAGUAGGGAAUCUUCCGCAAUGGGCGAAAGCCUGACGGAGCAACGCCGCGUGAGUGAUGAAGGUCUUCGGAUCGUAAAACUCUGUUAUUAGGGAAGAACAAAUGUGUAAGUAACUAUGCACGUCUUGACGGUACCUAAUCAGAAGGCCACGGCUAACUACGUG